UUUAGUUCUCUCUCCCUCAUCUUUCCCGUAUCUCUCCCUAGUAACAACAAUAACAACGAUUACCAUCACCGCCACUCUUCCUCCGAUAAACCACCCAGACCACCAUCCUUCCUCGUCUUCAACCCACCACGAGCAAAAAACCACUUUAAACACUUGGUUUGGGCUACCACCCCGAGAACCCAGCUACUGCCAUCAAGCUAAGGAGCUCCGACGAGGAGCUAUGGUUUCCCGAUGAAGAUCUCGUCAAUUCCAGUGAAGAAACCAUGUGGGGAUGCUUUUCCCCAGUUUUUCGACAAAGAACUCGAGCUUUGCAGGCCAUUUUUGGCCAACUCUGGCCACGACUCGACUUCUUUUUGGUUCGAAUCUCUUCUCAUUCUGAGCUUCAUUUCCAUAGGUAAAAUGUAAAUUUUGGUUAAGAAUCAGGCUCGAACGAAGCUCGAGAUGUAUCCCGACCAAACUAGCCAGUUCCGACUUUCUUCCUUGCAGAAAUCGAUGACCAUACCCAUGACUAGGAACGGGUCGACCCGACCCAAAAAAAACCCGGAUUCGGAUUCGACCAGGCCCUUUUUCUAAAUGGAUUUGGAAUAUAUUCCUUGUGUUGACUUUUUUGAAAUUUUGUUGGAAACCCUCCCAGGCUAAUUUUGACGUCUCGAGUUUGUUUUUUACAUCCAUUUAGUAAAAUUCUGAAAUGUUAACAUAGUUGAUCGCCAAGGCAGUUCGGUUGACUUUUAGGAUAGACCGUUGACUUUUUACAAAAAUUGUCCGGGACCCUUAUUCACGUAUUUCGACGCUCUGAAUCCAAAUCCUCACUCCAUUUUUCCAAAUGUAAUCGUUUUAGUUUUACUAAUGGGUCUCAAUAUUAUGCUUA